CUCGCCGCCGCCUCCGGUUCGCUUGGUGCAGGUCGGGAACGCCGAGAUCAGCCAGCGGACGAGCCAGCCGCUUCCCGCCUUGCACCAACUGAAUCGGAGCCGGAAA
rnacentral:pre_miRNA from 1 species